rnacentral:rRNA from 1 species
GACGAACGCUGGCGGCGUGCCUAAUACAUGCAAGUAGGACGCAGUUGCGAACGGGUGAGUAACGCGUAGGUAACUACCUAUUAGAGGGGGAUAACUAUUGGAAACGAUAGCUAAUACCGCAUACUAGUAGAUGGACCUGCGUUGUAUUAGCUAGUAGGUAGGGUAAUGGCCUACCUAGGCAACGAUACAUAGCCGACCUGGGAAGGGGGUCGGCCAAACUGGGACUGGAGCAAGGCCCAGACUCCCACGGGAGGGAGCAGUAGGGAAUCUUCGGCCAUGGGGCGAACGCGGACCGCGCAACGCCGCGUGAUGGAAGAAGGUUUUCGGAUCGUAAAGCUCUGUUGUUAAGGAAGCGGUACUUAACCAGAAAGGGACGGCUAACUACGUGCCAGCAGCCGCGGUAAUUC